rnacentral:rRNA from 1 species
GGGNGGCNNGCUAUAAUGCAAGUCGAGCGGACAGAUGGGAGCUUGCUCCCUGAUGUUAGCGGCGGACGGGUGAGUAACACGUGGGUAACCUGCCUGUAAGACUGGGAUAACUCCGGGAAACCGGGGCUAAUACCGGAUGGUUGUUUGAACCGCAUGGUUCAGACAUAAAAGGUGGCUUCGGCUACCACUUACAGAUGGACCCGCGGCGCAUUAGCUAGUUGGUGAGGUAACGGCUCACCAAGGCGACGAUGCGUAGCCGACCUGAGAGGGUGAUCGGCCACACUGGGACUGAGACACGGCCCAGACUCCUACGGGAGGCAGCAGUAGGGAAUCUUCCGCAAUGGACGAAAGUCUGACGGAGCAACGCCGCGUGAGUGAUGAAGGUUUUCGGAUCGUAAAGCUCUGUUGUUAGGGAAGAACAAGUGC